rnacentral:rRNA from 1 species
UACGUAGGGACCGAGCGUUGUCCGGAUUCAUUGGGCGUAAAGAGCUCGUAGGCGGCCACUCAAGUCGAAUGUGAAACCUCGAGGCUCAACCUCGAGCCUGCAUUCGAUACUGGGCGGCUAGAGUCUGGUAGGGGGAUCUGGAAUUCCUGGUGUAGCGGUGGAAUGCGCAGAUAUCAGGAGGAACACUGGUGGCGAAGGCGGUUCUCUGGGCAUUCCCUGACGCUGAGGAGCGAAAGUGUGGGGAGCGAACAGG